rnacentral:rRNA from 1 species
AGGAAUGUUACCUGGUUGAUCCUGCCAG